rnacentral:misc_RNA from 1 species
CCCAAAAACUUUUUUUUUUUUGGUGAUGUAACGUUGGGCUUGCCAAUCUUUUUUUUUAGAUUGGUCUUGCUUGGAAUGAUGUCAAUUCCAGUCGGAUCACCUUAUUCUUCAGAUCAGGCUUUGGUAGAUUACCGAAAGUCGCGUUUGAAUGAAUUUUGGCCCGAAUUGAUGGGAUUUUUAAACAUUUUUCAAU